AAUAAAAGUUUCAGAGUCAAUCAUAUAGACAAAUGAGAAAAUAUUAUCUUUGGUCUGCAGAAGGCAGCGAUCCUACAUAAAAAUGGAUCCGUCUGACUUGGACAGCUGGCUAAGGCUGAUCAUUCCCCUCGGCACAAU